rnacentral:tRNA from 1 species
GCCUGAUUGGCUCAGUCAGUUAAGCAUCUGACUUCAGCUCAGGUCAUGAUCUUGGGGUCCUGGGAUCGAGUCCCUCAUUAGGUU